rnacentral:tRNA from 1 species
AAUAAGGUCAGCUAAAUAAGCUUUUGGGCCCAUA